rnacentral:tRNA from 1 species
UGGGAUGUGACUCAGUGGUAGAGCACUUGCCUAACAUGCAUGAGGCACUGGGUUUGUUCCCCAGCACCACAU